ACGCUGGCGGCGUGCCUAAUACAUGCAAGUCGAGCGAGCUAAAUUCAAAGAUCCCUUCGGGGUGAUUUGCUGGACGCUAGCGGCGGAUGGGUGAGUAACACGUGGGCAAUCUGCCCUAAAGACUGGGAUAACACUUGGAAACAGGUGCUAAUACCGGAUAACAACAUGAAUCGCAUGAUUCAAGUUUGAAAGGCGGCGCAAGCUGUCACUUUAGGAUGAGCCCGCGGCGCAUUAGCUAGUUGGUGGGGUAAAGGCCUACCAAGGCAAUGAUGCGUAGCCGAGUUGAGAGACUGAUCGGCCACAUUGGGACUGAGACACGGCCCAAACUCCUACGGGAGGCAGCAGUAGGGAAUCUUCCACAAUGGACGCAAGUCUGAUGGAGCAACGUCGCGUGAGUGAAGAAGGUUUUCGGAUCGUAAAGCUCUGUUGUUGGUGAAGAAGGAUAGAGGCAGUAACUGGUCUUUAUUUGACGGUAAUCAACCAGAAAGUCACGGCUAACUACGUGCCAGCAGCCGCGGUAAUACGUAGGUGGCAAGCGUUGUCCGGAUUUAUUGGGCGUAAAGCGAGCGCAGGCGGAAUGAUAAGUCUGAUGUGAAAGCCCACGGCUCAACCGUGGAACUGCAUCGGAAACUGUCAUUCUUGAGUGCAGAAGAGGAGAGUGGAACUCCAUGUGUAGCGGUGGAAUGCGUAGAUAUAUGGAAGAACACCAGUGGCGAAGGCGGCUCUCUGGACUGCAACUGACGCUGAGGCUCGAAAGCAUGGGUAGCGAACAGGAUUAGAUACCCUGGUAGUCCAUGCCGUAAACGAUGAGCGCUAGGUGUUGGGGACUUUCCGGUCCUCAGUGCCGCAGCAAACGCAUUAAGCGCUCCGCCUGGGGAGUACGACCGCAAGGUUGAAACUCAAAGGAAUU
rnacentral:rRNA from 1 species